CGCGAAACGUGGAGCAAUCCAUGAGUAGAGUGGCAAACGGGUGAGUAACACGUGGGUGACCUGCCUUCGAGCGGGGGAUAACGUCCCGAAAGGGACGCUAAUACCGCAUGACAUCCUGUCUUUUAACAGAUGGAGAUCAAAGCCGGGGAUCGCAAGACCUGGCACUCGAAGAGGGGCCCGCGCCUGAUUAGCUAGUUGGUGAGGUAAUGGCUCACCAAGGCGACGAUCAGUAUCCGGCCUGAGAGGGCGGACGGACACACUGGGACUGAGACACGGCCCAGACUCCUACGGGAGGCAGCAGUGGGGAAUUUUGGACAAUGGGGGAAACCCUGAUCCAGCCAUUCCGCGUGAGUGAAGAAGGCCUUCGGGUUGUAAAGCUCUUUUGUCCGGAACGAAACGGGUAGCGUGAAUAUCGCUGCCUACUGACGGUACCGGAAGAAUAAGCACCGGCUAACUACGUGCCAGCAGCCGCGGUAAU
rnacentral:rRNA from 1 species